AUGUAUUUGAAAUUCGAAAAAAAAAAAGUUGGAAAAAAUAAAUAAAAUAAAGGGUGUUGAAUUUUAGAGCAGUAAGAUUUUCAGAUUUUUCUUUGUGGUCCUGGUUUGGUCGGCACAAACUACAAGAAUUUAGGCUUCUACUGACGCCAUUAAUACAUUUAGCAUUACCGUCGCUAAAGUUUUUACCGACAGAAAACAACCGUGUCCAAAAAUUUUCAUAUAUGCUGGAAAUAUGCCAGUGAGAGUUAUAAAAAAUAGUUGCCUAUGUCAAAAUUAACCCAAACCAGAGUUGAUUUUAGUAGAUAACGUAUUAAUAAAACAAUAUUUACUUGAAAAGGAAAAUAUUAAAAGAGUAUUCAACAAUAAAUCCAAGGAUUAAGAAAUUUACAAAGGAUUUAAUAACAAUUGUAAUUUCCAACUAAAUGAAUGAAAAUUCAAAAACGUUCAAUUUGUACCCAUUGAAAUUGAGAGCUUCCACAACUUUAAUAAACAGAAAUCCCAUUUUCACAAACUCCUUUAUACUAAAAAAAAUAUCAACACCUAAUCCCAAAUACUCUUCAAUGGUGACGUUGCUUGGUCUUCCUCCUUUAUUUGAAUAUUCUCCGAAGAGAAAAUAAAACAAUAAAGUGAAUUUAACAAUAUAAAAACACAAAUAUACACAAAAAUUCCUAAUGCUAGUUGUCAUUCAUUUUUUAUGCUUACUUGCUGCAUUUUCAAGGUAAUAAUGCCUCCCAUAGAGAAAUGAUAUUUCUUUUUCAUAAUUUGAUCAUUCCAGUACAUAAUAUAGCUUUGAAGUUUGAUAUUUCUCUUCCGUGUUGUAAAAAGAGAUACUAAAAAACAUAAUUUGACACUAUGAUUAAGAGUAUACAGACGUGAAGCAAUGCACUUCAGCUUACAUUAUAUUUAUCUUCAGACAGCUACUGCAGGAAAUUGACAGGCACAAGUUUGAGAGCUUCCUUCUUGGAUACGGUGAGACUAGGAACAGCUUUUUCUUCCAUGUUGAUUCCUUCAACUCUAUUUGGCAGUUUCCAAUCAAAAUAAUAUAAUAAAUUUGCAAGCACAAGCUCCACUGAUAUAGUUCCCAUAUUUAGUGCAGGGCAACCUCUUCUACCAGCUCCAAAUGGCAAAAACUCAAAAUUUUGUCCUGUAAAUUCAAUGGAACUAUCCACAAACCUUUCAGGAAAGAAUUCUUCUGGGUCCUUCCAGUAGUUAGGAUCUCUUCCAAUUGCCCAAAUAUUGAUUUGGAUCAGCGUUUUGGGAUAAAUUUCAUAACCAUCGAUUUUAAAAUUCGACAUGGCUUCUCUUGGAAGUAGCAAUGGGGCAGGAGGGUGCAAUCUCAGAGUUUCUUUUAUUACCAUGUGAAGGUAAGGAAGCUCAUCAAUGUCACCUUCUGUGACUCUUUCUCUAUUUCCUAUAACAUUUCUAACUUCUUCUUGUGCUUUCUUCAUCACUCUUGGAUUCCUAGCGAUCUCUGACAUAGCCCAGAUCAGGGUAACUGCACUGGUGUUUACUCCAGCCAAAAAUAGGUCCUGAAGCAAGAACAUCACAUGAAAAAAGAAGCAGACAUUAGUUCCAAGUUACCAGAAAAUACACACAACUUUUUUUUUUCUUUUUACAUAUAGCUCAAGUUCUGGAGAAAAAAAAAACAAAAUUUUUGUUGUCAUUUGACAUCCCAGAAAGCAUUCUGCUUCACCAGCAGUGGUGCUUUCAUAAAAACACAGAACAUGGAAGACAUCUCAAAAUUCAACAAGAGUUACUUUGAGAGAGGCUUUUGGUAAAAAAAAUCAUAUGUAAUGGCAACAAAACAAAUCUAAAAGUAAAGGAUUUGUAACCUGAGCAAAAGAUAAGGUGCAUACCAUGAGAACUGCCUUAAUGUGAUCUUUUGUCAGCUGAAUUGAACCAACUCCAGUUUGCUCCUUCUCCAUUCUUAGUAGCACAUCAACAAUGUCUUCCUGUCCAUUGUCUGUCCUCCCAUUUCCAUGUUUAAUAUGAUCAUCAAUUACCCAUCGGAAGAAAUUAUCCAGCUCAUGGAAAACUCUUUCUGUCCUUGUAUGAUAACCAGAAACCUUGUCGAUAAUCCAACCUACAUGUGGAAAGUAUUCAUUUGCAGAGAAGCUUCCCAACAAGGCCUGGGCAUCAUCAAUUAAUUUUUUGAAUCUAUCCUUUUCAAAAUCAGUUGCUCCAAAGUUUGUUCCAAAAGCCAUCCUAAAUGUUAUAUUUGCAGAAAGUGUUACAAACUUCUCAGUAAGAUCAACAGGAGUUGCAGAAGUUGAAAACUGAAAGAUUGAAUCAAUCAACAAAGCAACUUCUUCUUCCCUAAUGAACCGAAACGACUGCACCCUUUUUGUGCCAAAAAGCUCAAGAACACAUAUUUUCCGAAUCUCUCUCCAGUAAUUACCAUAUGGAGCAAAGGCUAUGUCUGAAUAAUUGUAUGAAAGUCUUCCAGCACCAGCUAAGGGAGGUCUACUGCAACAAAGAAGAUCAUUAAUCUUUAGAACCUCUUCUGCUGCCCCAGCUGAGGAAAUUACAACAGCAGGUACACGACCAAGUUGGAGAAGCAUGACUGGGCCAUAUUUCUUGGAGAGUUGCCACAAGGAGCGGUGAGGCAAUCCUCCAAGUUGAUGAAGGUUGCCUAUAAUUGGAAACUUGUGAGGGCUUGGUGGAAGAUGCUCGUUUUCUCUUUCAACUCCCAUCUUUCUUUUAAUUAGAAGUAGAAAAGGGAGAAGGAAAACAGGCAUCCACAAGGAUAAGGUAUAGAGAACCAUUGUAUUUUACCUAAGAUAUGCCCAAAACUUCUUUAAGUUGUGCCUUCAUCUUCAAAUAAACUACCUUAAGUUAAUAACUACAAGAAUCAGGAAAUUAUUUGUCUCUACUCUGCUGCAUUCUGAAAGAAAGUUAAUAAUGUUAUAAUUUAGUCAGCGACAUGAUGCGUGCUAAUUUCUUUUCCACUGAAUAUGAUAGAUACUAACUUUCUACAUCAAGAUUCAUUGUCUAGUGGGAUUUAGAGAUAAGGUUGAACGCAAAUAAAAACAAGAGACUUCCUUCUACCUUUGAAAUUUUGGAACCAUCCUAGCAUCAUCUGUCUCAUCACGCAGUCUGUACAUGUGCAUUUGCAGUCACAUACUUAGUGACGUGCCCCACAUUCCUUAGCACAACCUCACCACUGAAGAAAAUCAGUCCACUGUCCAUUUUUACGCUCUGGGGUCUUCUUGAAUACAGUGGAAAGAACGGUUCAAAGUGGGAAUUGUGUGGUUGUUGUGCCUUUGUCAAUCUCUGAAAAAUCUUCUGCUUACGUUUAUGCCUAUCUUAUUUCAUAAGAAACCACAAUGUCAACAAGGACAAACAUUGAAUUUGAGAGAUACAUACGUCAAGCAACACUCUGUACUUCACAUUAUCUUUCAAAUGGCUAUCGAAGGUAUAUAGUUGAUAGACACAAAGCUAACAGCUUCCAUCUAUAAUGAAGUAAGACGAAAACCAGCUUUCUCUUCCAUAUUGACAUCUUCGACUCCAUUUGGUAGUUUCCAAUAAAAAUGACAUUAACAGAUACGCAAGUGCAAGCUUCACCAAUGAAAUUCCCAGUUUCAUUUCCAGCUCUGAAUGGCAAAAACUCAAAAUUUU
rnacentral:misc_RNA from 1 species